CCCAAGCCUAGGCAAGAUUGGGCGCUUUGCCUUGAAAGAGAAUACAAUUUAAAGCCGACUGCUAGCCGUCCCUCAAACAUAAUAAAUGUUGUUUUGUUUUUAAGGUUUUCAUUAUAAAAAUAAGAGUUUAAUUCGGUUUAUAAAAUACAGUACUGGUUUCUCCAAUCUUAACAUCUAAAAUCCUGAAGAAUCUUUGGUAGAGAGAUGAGAGACCCCAAUUAUGGUUAUCCUUACCCUGCUCAAGGUUAUUAUCAAGGACCUCCAGUGAUGGCACCUCCACAAUAUUAUGCCGCUCCACCACCUCCGAGAGAGCCUGGUUUCCUUGAGGGAUGCCUUGCAGCUUUGCGCUGUUGCUCCCUUAUUGAGUGUUGCUGCGACCCCUCCUUCAUUUUUUGUUGACAGAGGUAGCUAUCAUGCUUCUUCUAAGAAUAGUUACAGCUAUGUGAUAAAUGUUGAGUUAUACUGCAUGGUUUAUAUGAAUUACAAAAAAAUAAAUAAAAACAUCUUCUUUUUAUU